GCCGGUUUAGCUCAGUGGCAGAGCGUCUGUCUUGUAAACAGAAGGUCGUAGGUUCGAUCCCUGCAAUCGGCA
rfam:Steinernema glaseri strain NC unplaced genomic scaffold GLAS_6490, whole genome shotgun sequence.